rnacentral:rRNA from 1 species
GGCGGCAGGCCUAACACAUGCAAGUCGAGCGCAGUCCUUCGGGACCGAGCGGCGGACGGGUUAGUAACGCGUGGGAACAUACCCUUUUCUACGGAAUAGCCUCGGGAAACUGAGAGUAAUACCGUAUAAGCCCUUCGGGGGAAAGAUUUAUCGGGAAAGGAUUGGCCCGCGUUAGAUUAGAUAGUUGGUGGGGUAAUGGCCUACCAAGUCUACGAUCUAUAGCUGGUUUUAGAGGAUGAUCAGCAACACUGGGACUGAGACACGGCCCAGACUCCUACGGGAGGCAGCAGUGGGGAAUCUUAGACAAUGGGCGCAAGCCUGAUCUAGCCAUGCCGCGUGUGUGAUGAAGGUCUUAGGAUCGUAAAGCACUUUCGCCAGGGAUGAUAAUGACAGUACCUGGUAAAGAAACCCCGGCUAACUCCGUGCCAGCAGCCGCGGUAAUACGGAGGGGGUUAGCGUUGUUCGGAAUUACUGGGCGUAAAGCGUACGUAGGCGGAUCAGAAAGUAGGGGGUGAAAUCCCAGGGCUCAACCCUGGAACUGCCUCCUAAACUCCUGGUCUUGAGUUCGAGAGAGGUGAGUGGAAUUCCAAGUGUAGAGGUGAAAUUCGUAGAUAUUUGGAGGAACACCAGUGGCGAAGGCGGCUCACUGGCUCGAUACUGACGCUGAGGUACGAAAGUGUGGGGAGCAAACAGGAUUAGAUACCCUGGUAGUCCACACCGUAAACGAUGAAUGCCAGUCGUCGGGCAGUAUACUGUUCGGUGACACACCUAACGGAUUAAGC